AUUAAAGUUGUUGCAGUUAAAAAGCUCGUAGUUGAACUUCAGACCUGGCCGGGCGGUCUGCCUCACGGUAUGUACUGUCUGGCUGGGUCUUACCUCUUGGUGAGCCGGCAUGCCCUUCACUGGGUGUGUCGGGGAACCAGGACUUUUACCUUGAGAAAAUUAGAGUGUUCAAAGCAGGCCUAUGCCCGAAUACAUUAGCAUGGAAUAAUAAAAUAGGACGUGCGGUUCUAUUUUGUUGGUUUCUAGAGUCGCCGUAAUGAUUAAUAGGGAUAGUUGGGGGCAUUAGUAUUCAGUUGCUAGAGGUGAAAUUCUUGGAUUUACUGAAGACUAACUACUGCGAAAGCAUUUGCCAAGGAUGUUUUCAUUAAUCAAGAACGAAGGUUAGGGGAUCGAAAACGAUCAGAUACCGUUGUAGUCUUAACAGUAAACUAUGCCGACUAGGGAUCGGGCGAUCUCAAUACUUAUGUGUCGCUCGGCACCUUACGAGAAAUACAAAGUCUUUGGGUUCUGGGGGGAGUAUGGUCGCAAGGCUGAAACUUAAAGGAAUUGACGGAAGNCCACCACC
rnacentral:rRNA from 1 species